rnacentral:lncRNA from 1 species
GAAGCUCUUGGGAGCAUGUGGACAGUUGUGGCUGCUCCUGAGCUGACACUAACUGCUCAUGACUCCUCUGUGGGAGAAGUAGGUGGUUUCCUAGAGGAAGAAGUUUGGGUAAUGAAGCCACAGAGAUUUGCUGAUACAUUUGCUAGGCACGACUUCUGGUCAUUUAGAAAGCUAUUUUGUGGCUUCAUCAAUAAGGUAUUCCCCAGCUGUGUUACUCCUUCGCAUUGUUAUCUCUUUCCCUGGAAUUGAAGGCUUCCUGGUCUGAGGCAAGGACAAUUAUUCCCUCACUGCCAACCCGGAUCUCUGGCUGCAGUAAUGAGCAGAGGAAGGCAUAAAGCUUUUCUCUUCCCCAGCAGUGACUUUUGAGUACCAGCUUUCAAAUUUAUUUGACAUUGAAUCUAAGCUUUGUGACCAGUAUGUAGCAGGAGAAGAAGGGGAGGAAUUACUUAUCCUUUGGCAUACAUUAGCAUGCAAAUAAAUCCUUUCUCUGCAUUGUGGAAGGGUCUGAAAUUAUCACAUAUACAAUGUAUCUUUUAUCAAUGGCCUUGCAUACAAAUUUUACUUUGAAGAAUCCAGAUUUAGAGGUCUUCUCUAAACAUUUGCAUUUGCAUUGUUUCUUUUUCUUAGGAUCAGAACUUCUACCUAUUGUCAUUUUAAGAAAAAAGAUCAUGAAUUAAUUAAUUUAUUCAUUAUUUACACCCUUAUAUUCUCUCCCAAAUGUUUUAAUGUGGCUUACAUUGUAUACAUGUACACAAUAAAUCUUUAUAUUUAAAUAAGUUAUAAUCACAGAAUGAGAAUAUUAUUACAACCACUCAUACUCAUUCAAAUAGCUUGAUUAUAU